ensembl:lncRNA
GCCAACCACUGCAGUGCACCCACAGCAUCCUACAGCAUGGACCACCUAUAGCCACAGCUCUCGCAGUGGAUUAAUGAAUGCCAAACUCAUUAGCUACAGACAAAUAACAUCUAAAUAGAGGUGACCUUCCGGAUAAUGACAAUGGCAGAUCCAUCUUGAGUUCAUCUCCAGGCUGGUCUUCUGCGUGUGAGAGAUGUUGUCCCUUCAGUGUGUUUUGGAAGCUGAGGUGAGGGAAGGAGCCCUGAUCUUCUGGCAGCUGCCAGGGGAAAAGGCUUUUUUUUCCCUGCCCGGUCCCAGCACGGCUUCCUCCUGCUGUUCCCACUGAAAGAAUGGAUCCCUGAGAGCAACAAAAGCAGUCACGCAGUUCACUUGAGCAGUCAUGCAUAAAGAUGGGCAGACUUUCUGCUGUGAAAACCAAAGGGCAGCCCCCCCCCCCCGCCACCAGUUUUCCAUAGGUUCUCAGGAGGAUGCUGAGGAUCUCAUACAGGAGGCCGGUGUCCCUGGCGUGCACCGGGUGCUGCUGUUCCCCUGGGCUGGGGCUGUCACAGCAGCCAGUCAGUGUACUGCUCUGCAAAUAAGAAG